rnacentral:lncRNA from 1 species
GAUCCUCCUACUUUGGCCUUAACUUCAGGUGUUGCCUUCCUGGUGUCUGGGCUUCCGCAGCUGCUGCUUCUUGAAGUCUGAUUAGCACCAUAGGACUGACAGUGGCAUAGGCAUUGACCACAAACUUGUGGACACUGUCGAUGACAGGGCUGAAUACCCAUAACAGCAUUUUGGAGGAUGAGACAAUUAAGUCCAAUGAGUACAUAACCACGAAGAAACUCACCAGCAGCAAGAUGGUCUUGGUGGCCCUUUUCUCUGGGGAGGUUCUUAAUAAAAAGCUAGUGCUGUGAAGGUGCUGGGAGCACCUCUGAUGCCUGGACAAGAGAAUCACCAUGAAGGCACUUGAGAGCGGCAUGAUUCCUACAAGGAAGACAUCUCUGGAUAACGACAGAGUAACAAACAGCCUUCUGAUGGUGACAUUCAUUGGGGAAAGUGAGCAGUAUUUACU